CCAAAAACAUAGCCCUCAAAACAAUUGAAGGUGAAACCUGCCCAAUGAUUUAAUACACUAAAUUUAAAAAUUUAAUAAAAAAAAAUUAAAUGGCUGCAGUAACUAUGACUGUAAAAAUGUAGCAUAAUAAUUCGCCACUUAAUUAGUGGAUAGUAUGAACGGUUUAACGAAAAUUCCACUGUCUUAUAUAAUAAAAAAAAAAUUUAAAUCAUAGUUAAGAUGCUAUGUAAAACUGUAAGACGAAAAGACCCUAUAAAGCUUAACUAUAUUUCUUAAUAAUUUAAUAAAAAAAACUUAAAAAAAUUAUUUAUUAAGAUUUGGUAGUUUCAUUGGGGCGAUGAUCUCUAAAAAUAAACAGAGAUAAACCUAUAUAAUAAUAAAAUUUACUGUAUAAUUAAUAAAUUUAACAGUUACAAAGUAGGGUAUAAUGACCCAUUAAUUUUAUAAAAAGAAUUAAUGAUCAAUAAAUAAAAGCUACUUUAGGGAUAACAGGAUAAUAAUUUCUUAGAGACCCAAUCGAAGAAAAAGUUUAUCACCUCGAUGUUGAAUUAAGAUAACCUAAUGACGCAGCAGUAAUUAAAGGUAGGUC
rnacentral:rRNA from 1 species